GGUUAAGCGAAUAAGCGUACACGGUGGAUGCCUAGGCAAUCAGAGGCGAUGAAGGACGUGCUAAUCUGCGAAAAGCGUCGGUAAGGUGAUAUGAACCGUUAUACCCGACGAUAUCCGAAUGGGGAAACCCAGUAUCCAAUGGAUACUAUCAUUAACUGAAUCCAUAGGUUAAUGAGGCGAACCGGGAGAACUGAAACAUCUCAGUACCCCGAGGAAAAGAAAUCAACCGAGAUUCCCCUAGUAGCGGCGAGCGAACGGGGAGCAGCCCAGAGUCUUAAUCAAUAGCAGUGUCAGGAGAACGGUCUGGAAAGUCCGGCAGUAAAGGGUGAUAGCCCCGUAUCUGAAGAUGCUGUUAUUGUGAACUCGACGAGUAGGGCGGGACACGUGUUAUCCUGUCUGAAUAUGGGGGGACCAUCCUCCAAGGCUAAAUACUCCUGAUUGACCGAUAGUGAACCAGUACCGUGAGGGAAAGGCGAAAAGAACCCCGGCGAGGGGAGUGAAAAAGAACCUGAAACCGUGUACGUACAAGCAGUAGGAGCCUCUUUAUGGGGUGACUGCGUACCUUUUGUAUAAUGGGUCAGCGACUUAUAUUCUGUAGCAAGGUUAACCGUAUAGGGGAGCCGUAGGGAAACCGAGUCUUAACUGGGCGAAUGAGUUGCAGGGUAUAGACCCGAAACCCGGUGAUCUAUCCAUGGGCAGGUUGAAGGUUGGGUAACACUAACUGGAGGACCGAACCGACUAAUGUUGAAAAAUUAGCGGAUGACUUGUGGAUGGGGGUGAAAGGCCAAUCAAACCGGGAGAUAGCUGGUUCUCCCCGAAAGCUAUUUAGGUAGCGCCUCGUGAACUCAUCUUCGGGGGUAGAGCACUGUUUCGACUAGGGGGUCAUCCCGACUUACCAACUCGAUGCAAACUGCGAAUACCGAAGAAUGUUAUCACGGGAGACACACGGCGGGUGCUAACGUCCGUCGUGAAGAGGGAAACAACCCAGACCGCCAGCUAAGGUCCCAAAGUCAUGGUUAAGUGGGAAACGAAGUGGGAAGGCUCAGACAGCCAGGAUGUUGGCUUAGAAGCAGCCAUCAUUUAAAGAAAGCGUAAUAGCUCACUGGUCGAGUCGGCCCGCGCGGAAGAUGUAACGGGGCUAAACCAUGCACCGAAGCUGCGGCAGCGACACAAUGUGUUGUUGGGUAGGGGAGCGUUCUGUAAGCCUGCGAAGGUGUACUGUGAGGUAUGCUGGAGGUAUCAGAAGUGCGAAUGCUGACAUAAGUAACGAUAAUGCGGGUGAAAAACCCGCACGCCGGAAGACCAAGGGUUCCUGUCCAACGUUAAUCGGGGCAGGGUGAGUCGACCCCUAAGGCGAGGCUGAAAAGCGUAGUCGAUGGGAAACGGGUUAAUAUUCCCGUACUGGUGGUAACUGCGAUGGGGGAACGGAGAAGGCUAGGUUGUCCGGGCGACGGUCGUCCCGGUUCAAGCAGGUAGGCAGAGUGAUUAGGCAAAUCCGGUCACUUAAUGCUGAGAUGUGAUGACGAACCACCAAGGUGGUGAAGCAAUUGAUGCCCCGCUUCCAGGAAAAGCCUCUAAGCUUCAGGUUACCAACAAUCGUACCCCAAACCGACACAGGUGGUCAGGUAGAGAAUACUCAGGCGCUUGAGAGAACUCGGGUGAAGGAACUAGGCAAAAUGGUGCCGUAACUUCGGGAGAAGGCACGCUGGCGGUAGGUAAAGUCCCUUGCGGACGGCGCCCAAGCCAGUCGAAGAUACCAGCUGGCUGCAACUGUUUAUUAAAAACACAGCACUGUGCAAACACGAAAGUGGACGUAUACGGUGUGACGCCUGCCCGGUGCUGGAAGGUUAAUUGAUGGGGUUAGCGCAAGCGAAGCUCCUGAUCGAAGCCCCAGUAAACGGCGGCCGUAACUAUAACGGUCCUAAGGUAGCGAAAUUCCUUGUCGGGUAAGUUCCGACCUGCACGAAUGGCGUAAUGAUGGCCAGGCUGUCUCCACCCGAGACUCAGUGAAAUUGAACUCGCUGUGAAGAUGCAGUGUACCCGCGGCAAGACGGAAAGACCCCGUGAACCUUUACUAUAGCUUGACACUGAACAUUGAGCCUUGAUGUGUAGGAUAGGUGGGAGGCUUUGAAGUGUGGACGCCAGUCUGCAUGGAGCCAACCUUGAAAUACCACCCUUUAACGUUUGAUGUUCUAACCUAGGCCCAUAAACUGGGUCGGGGACCGUGUCUGGUGGGUAGUUUGACUGGGGCGGUCUCCUCCUAAAGAGUAACGGAGGAGCACGAAGGUUGGCUAAGCAUGGUCGGACAUCAUGCGGUUAGUGCAAAGGCAUAAGCCAGCUUGACUGCGAGAGUGACGGCUCGAGCAGGUACGAAAGUAGGUCUUAGUGAUCCGGUGGUUCUGAAUGGAAGGGCCAUCGCUCAACGGAUAAAAGGUACUCCGGGGAUAACAGGCUGAUACCGCCCAAGAGUUCAUAUCGACGGCGGUGUUUGGCACCUCGAUGUCGGCUCAUCACAUCCUGGGGCUGAAGUAGGUCCCAAGGGUAUGGCUGUUCGCCAUUUAAAGUGGUACGCGAGCUGGGUUUAGAACGUCGUGAGACAGUUCGGUCCCUAUCUGCCGUGGGCGUUGGAAGAUUGAGAGGGGUUGCUCCUAGUACGAGAGGACCGGAGUGAACGCACCACUGGUGUUCGGGUUGUCAUGCCAAUGGCAUUGCCCGGUAGCUAAGUGCGGAAGAGAUAACCGCUGAAAGCAUCUAAGCGGGAAACUUGCCUCGAGAUGAGUCUUCCCUGUCGCUUUAAGCGACCUAAAGGAACGUUUAAGACUAAGACGUUGAUAGGCUGGGUGUGUAAGCGUAGUGAUACGUUGAGCUAACCAGUACUAAUGAACCGUGAGGCUUAACCUG
rnacentral:rRNA from 1 species